rnacentral:misc_RNA from 1 species
AAGUCGUAACAAGGUUUCCGUAGGUGAACCUGCGGAAGGAUCAUUACAAAACAAAAUCCAAACCACACCAAAUGUGCUCUAUAAAUGCUGAGAAGCUGUCUUUGUGUGUGUUAAUGUUUGUGUGAGGAGAAAAAUUUAUUUUUUCCUCCUCGCACUCUCACACACACACACACAAUCCUUCUUUUCAGCAUUGUCUUUGUUUAUCAAUUUUUUCAUUAACUCCUUGUUUAACCAACAACGGAUUACAAUGUUAAAACUUGAAACAAAAAACAAAACAAAAUGACAACUUUUAACGGUGGAUCUCUUGGCUCGU